CUAGACAGGCAGGCCUCUAUCCUACAAACAAUUAGUUAACAACUAAUCACCCAAUCCAGCGGGCUUCUAUCUA
rnacentral:tRNA from 1 species